AGCUCUUUCAAAUUCCAUAUUCAAUAUUGUUGAUGGUUUUUUUGUUCUUAGAUCUAUAAAGAUUUUACUUACCGCUAUUUAUUUAUUUUCCCUGUCUCUAUCACACAUCUAAACCUCUUCUUUUUUUGUGCAGGGAACCAAGAAUGGUUCGAUCUCAGGAAGGAUGGUGUAAGAGUUUUUCCCAGUCACCCACAUCAGAUACAUCUAUUCAUUUUAAACUUUGAAUACACAUCCCAUUCUCUCCUUCAUCCUAACCCUAACCCUAGACACAAUGGUAGAGCCACCUACCAGACCAUUCACGCCCGAGCUCACACCCAUAACCCCACAUCUCAUAUCAAGAACCAAUACGACUACUCUCUAUACCGACUCCUCUGCCAUCCGUCUCUCUCUAAAGCGCUCCAACCCGCUGCCGCCCUCCGUCACCAUCAUUUUACCAGUCAUGACACCACCUUUAACAUCAAUGAUAAGCGCACUACCAUCAUUGUCUUCUUCAUCUCUCUAUUCAUAAGAAAAACCCUAACCAUGUAUGUGUGUUUACAACUCCGAAAUGUGAGGAAAUGAAAAGACGAACCCAAAUAAAAACCUGGUCAGUUGGAGGUAACUCAUAUUUUUAAGCCAUCAAUUCAUCAAUCUUUUAAGCAAAUUAGAUUAGUUUACAAUGCUUAAUAUGUGGCAAACCCGUUUUCUGUUAUAACAAAUCUGUGAGAAACUGAUUAUUUGGGGUUUUUUUGUAGAUAUGUUCUGUUUGGUGUUGGUAUAAUGGCCGAUUACUUUUAGAUGUGGAUCGAUUAACCUUUUUUGUAUUUUUCUCUUUAUUUUGGAUUGUAAUUUUUUGAACUUUUUUAUUUAUCAAUUUGUAGAGGCUCGGGUCUCUUAGGAAAAAAACAACAUUUUUUUCCCUAUUUUUUUUAUUUCAUGCAACUGUUAUUAAUGAAAAUGCACAUAAUGGCAAUGUUGUUUUGUUAUA